GACGAACGCUGGCGGCGUGCUUAACACAUGCAAGUCGAACGGAAAGGCCCUGCUUUUGUGGGGUGCUCGAGUGGCGAACGGGUGAGUAACACGUGAGUAACCUGCCCUUGACUUUGGGAUAACUUCAGGAAACUGGGGCUAAUACCGGAUAGGAGCUCCUGCUGCAUGGUGGGGGUUGGAAAGUUUCGGCGGUUGGGGAUGGACUCGCGGCUUAUCAGCUUGUUGGUGGGGUAGUGGCUUACCAAGGCUUUGACGGGUAGCCGGCCUGAGAGGGUGACCGGCCACAUUGGGACUGAGAUACGGCCCAGACUCCUACGGGAGGCAGCAGUGGGGAAUAUUGCACAAUGGGCGGAAGCCUGAUGCAGCAACGCCGCGUGCGGGAUGACGGCCUUCGGGUUGUAAACCGCUUUCGCCUGUGACGAAGCGUGAGUGACGGUAAUGGGUAAAGAAGCACCGGCUAACUACGUGCCAGCAGCCGCGGUGAUACGUAGGGUGCGAGCGUUGUCCGGAUUUAUUGGGCGUAAAGGGCUCGUAGGUGGUUGAUCGCGUCGGAAGUGUAAUCUUGGGGCUUAACCCUGAGCGUGCUUUCGAUACGGGUUGACUUGAGGAAGGUAGGGGAGAAUGGAAUUCCUGGUGGAGCGGUGGAAUGCGCAGAUAUCAGGAGGAACACCAGUGGCGAAGGCGGUUCUCUGGGCCUUUCCUGACGCUGAGGAGCGAAAGCGUGGGGAGCGAACAGGCUUAGAUACCCUGGUAGUCCACGCUGUAAACGGUGGGUACUAGGUGUGGGGUCCAUUCCACGGGUUCCGUGCCGUAGCUAACGCUUUAAGUACCCCGCCUGGGGAGUACGGCCGCAAGGCUAAAACUCGAAGGAAUUGACGGGGCCCCGCACAAGCGGCGGAGCAUGCGGAUUAAUUCGAUGCAACGCGUAGAACCUUACCUGGGUUUGACAUGGAUCGGGAGUGCUCAGAGAUGGGUGUGCCUCUUUUGGGGUCGGUUCACAGGUGGUGCAUGGCUGUCGUCAGCUCGUGUCGUGAGAUGUUGGGUUAAGUCCCGCAACGAGCGCAACCCUUGUUCACUGUUGCCAGCACGUUAUGGUGGGGACUCAGUGGAGACCGCCGGGGUCAACUCGGAGGAAGGUGGGGAUGACGUCAAGUCAUCAUGCCCCUUAUGUCCAGGGCUUCACGCAUGCUACAAUGGCUGGUACAGAGAGUGGCGAGCCUGUGAGGGUGAGCGAAUCUCGGAAAGCCGGUCUCAGUUCGGAUUGGGGUCUGCAACUCGACCUCAUGAAGUCGGAGUCGCUAGUAAUCGCAGAUCAGCAACGCUGCGGUGAAUACGUUCCCGGG
rnacentral:rRNA from 1 species